CAGCGCCGCGGGAAUACGUAGGGUGCGAGCGUUAAUCGGAAUUACUGGGCGUAAAGCGUGCGCAGGCGGUUUUGUAAGACAGGCGUGAAAUCCCCGGGCUCAACCUGGGAAUGGCGCUUGUGACUGCAAAGCUAGAGUGCGGCAGAGGGGGAUGGAAUUCCGCGUGCAGCAGUGAAAUGCGUAGAGAUGUGGAGGAACACCGAUGGCGAAGGCAGCCCCCUGGGCCAAUACUGACGCUCAUGCACGAAAGCGUGGGGAGCAAACAGGAUUAGAUACCCGAGUAGUCCCUGUCUCUUAUACA
rnacentral:rRNA from 1 species